CCCCGCCCAGGCCCCGCGUCCCUCCCUCCCGAGGCGGCGCCGCCCUCCCUGGGAGCCCGGGAAGUCCGCGGGGCGCCCCCCGCUGUUCCUGGAGGGAGACAGUGGGACGGGGGAGCCGGCCUAGGGCCCCGGGCCACAGCCCCCACCCCCAGGGCUCCCCAGCUUCAGCUCCAGUCCCUUCCAGGGCCCCCACCAGGACUCUCUGCUGGCUCAGCCCAACACCUUCCUCCCAGGUUUCUAGCGAGCGCUUGUGGACUUCAUGCUCUGCCUGCGUGGGGCCCCCUGAGGGACAGCACGACCCCGUAGGACCACCUGCUGCGUCUGCCAGCCACCUCUGCCUACUUCCAGUGGGACCCCUGCCUUGGAACUGUGCUAGCCCUGCUGUGCCCCACAGCUCAGCACCCCCUAACUUUCCAAGAUUGUCCCCCACACCUCCACCCCUGGCCCUUCCUGGCUGCCUUGAAAUUCAGAGCCCUGCGGUGGCUCUCCUAAUAAGUGAGGAAGAAGCUGAGGCUCAGAGAUAUUCUCCCCCGCUGGUGCGGUGAGGGGAAGUCCCCCAGACAAGACUGCUCAGAGAAGGCACCAGGGUAGGUGGGCCUGGCUCCAGGGACAGAAUCCAUCACUUCCUCAUCUUAUCUGGCUCUUACCUGAGGCUCACACAAGACGACGACCUGACCGACCUGACCUGACCGACCUGACCGAGAGAGUCCUACGAGACUGGACGCUCCCCAGAGGCAGGAACCAGAGCAUCUACUUCACUUCUGAAGCUGCCAACUACCGAAGCAGUUGGGAAGCAGAUGGGACAAAAUGAGACCAAGCCGGCGAAGGGCCGAGAAGCCGCGCUCCAGAAAUCGGCCGUGCUCGCUGCUGCCACCCGGCGGAGGGAGGCGGGAGAACCGGCGAGCGGGCGGCCCGGGCCGUCAGGAGGAGGGAAGCGCCGAGGCUCCGAGGCCAGCACGACCCAGGAACGUGACGCGUGGCGCACAGGAGGUGCUCAUACAGCGACUGUCCCUUCGGCCCAAGACCGACACGCAUGGCCAGGGGGGACUCAGGCUGAGGCCCAGGAAGACCCACGCAUCUCCCAGGCCUCCUGGGUCUGUUCAGAUCACCCGAUGUAAGUCACCAGACUGUCGGCAGAAUUCAGAGACUUGGCAGGUGGAAAGUGCUCAGAGAACAGUGUCUGGCACAUAAGAAGACCAGUGUGUCACCAUUAUUACCCCUACUCUCAACACUCAGGUCUUGAUCUCAUGGUCAUGAGUUCAAGCCCCACACUGAGCUCCAUGCUGGGCAUGGAACCUACUUAAAAAAACAAAAACAAAAAACUUGUCCUGUUGCCGUCAUCCCCGUGGCGGUCAGCAGCAGCACCAUCACCAGACGAGGCCCACUGUGAUUACAAAGGUCCUAUGUCCCAACUGCCAGGCACAGGCGCUGGUGACCCUAUUCUAGAGACCGACAGGCACUCCUUUGGUCUACCCUGCAACCAAUCAAGAGCCUUCCAGUACCCCAAAGAGAUUGUCCCCUGGAGCCAUGGGGCACACAGAUGUUCACUGCAGCACCAUUUAUGGAGGUGUACCCCAGGGAGUCCCACGCGGUGGACACAAGUAAUGGAGCAGACAUGACACAGAGCAGAUGGACAGAUCUUUAAAAGCAUAGAGCAAAGUGGAAAAAAAAAAAAAAACAGAAAAGGAAGAGCCAGGAUGAGAUCUACAAGGCAAAGCCGUCUACAUAAAUUAAAACUGCUGGCACAGAAGCAUGCGUGUUAUGUAAGAACAGGGACAAACAAGGAAUCCAAGUUAAACCUUCAUGUUUGAAAGUGAAGUUAAAAUGGUGGCCUGUGGGAGGGACAGGAGGGCAGGCAGCUCUGCGUGGACCAGUGGUCAACUGUGCCAGGGACAGAGGAGUAUAACCAAGGCCUCCUGCAUACCCAGUGGUGGUCCAGUGAACACGCCAAAAAUAAAACAUCUGUGGGGUGAGGCUGAUUGGGGUUCAAAUCCCAGUCCCACCAUUUAGGGGCAGUGGCUUUGUGCUCUGUCCCCUCCUGAGCUGCAAGGCGCUCUUCCUCUAUGAAAGGGGCGUGCCACCUUGCAGGGGUAAGAGCUUGGGUGCCGGCACUCGCACCCAGGGGCGCCUAGAAAGGGUCCAUUUCUUGUCACUCUAGUCCUCAUCGCUGCUUGGCAGGUCUCCCUCAGCUCCUGGGCAGCACCUCUAGCUGGUGCCCAGCACAGCGGCCGAGGUUCGACAGGAAUCCACGGAAUUGGUACCCCAUCCCCAAAUCCAGCCUGGCUGGCCUGCGAUACAACACCCAGGGGUUGGAAAGUGGUCAUCCAUCCACUUCCUCUCUGCCCCCAUCCCCACCAGCCAGCCCUGUGGCUGCGGGGGAGUCUGGAGCCUAGCAUGUGCAGUCCUUGGCCCUUCUAAUCCCUCUUAACACCCCCUGCGCCAGGAGGGCUUGAUGCUCCUGGCAACCCUGAUCCCCAGCCGCCCCCAGUGCGCCUGCUGAGGCCUGUGUUGUCCAAAGUUGGAUUUAGGGAAACCCGAGCUGGUCCCAAGGCGUAUGGCAGGAUCUGGCCCCAGUCCUCCACACAGCAUCCCCCUCGCAGGCCCCCUCAACCUCCCUUCAAUAAGGGAGUCAACGUUAUUUUUUUCCUCACCUCCCCAAGAUCAUCAUUUGCCCAUAAGACACCUUCAUGCCAAUUAAAAAGAAGUUCCCCUUUGUCCACAGAGAGAGUAUGGCAAGAGGCAUUCAAGCUGGAUUUCAGCCCCUAUUCAAGCUGGAUUUCAGUCCCUUGUGCAGUGAACAACCUGUUCAACGGUACAUUGCAGCCUUCCUCCUUAGCCUGGACUACUCCAGACACACUCAAAGGUCAUGGGGAAGGCCCCACUCUCUCUGAAGCUGAACUCCUAGGCACAGGAGGUCUCCUGGCUCCAAAGCCCGACGGGUCAAGCUUGGACAUGGAUUCCAAGAGCCAGGACGUGAAAACUUCGUUUCUUCCAAUCCAGGGGUCCUGCCCCAGGGCCCCCCGCUGGGAGCCUAGGUUUCUGAGGCUACUCUGGGCUUCAGACUCCUCUUCCUCCUUACCCUGGAGGAGACCACUGUCAAGUUGUGCUCCUUUUCCUGCCUACCCGCACCCCCUCUACGGGGACCGUCGUGAAGAUAUUGUGGGGUAACAGGUGUAACAGAGCCAACAUCCCACUGCUCACCAGGCCUUUCUUCAUUGGACGCAGGAGCAGGGGGUCAUACAAACCCGGCGGUUCUCCCUUCAAAUGCCAGGGGUUCGAAUCCCAGCUCCACCACCAACUGGGUGAUCCUGGGCAAGGCCCUUCCCCUGAGCCCUUUACUGUCAUCCGCAAAACAGGGGCGAAUGCAUCUCCACCCUCACGGGCGCCCGAGAGCCGGACCUAAUCUGCGCACCCAGCCCUGGGCCCCUGGACGCCGCAGCUCGGAGACGGGCACCGGGGAGAAAAGCCUGGAGUGCCCCCCACCCCCAGCCGCUCAGCUCCAGCAGUCCUGGAGGGGGGAGGCGGGAGAGGGCUGGAGAUGGCACCCCCGCCUCGGAGAGCAGCCUGCCAGCGCUGCGGAGCUGGGGGCCCCCAGGUUCUCAGAAAAGCCCCCUUUUCACGGUUUAAUUGAAUAUUUGAAUAAUCCUUUCAUUCCAGCGAGGCAUAAAGAAUGUUGUCCCAAUAGCGGUGACUCAGGCAGGCGCCCCCGCGCACAAUGGCCCCUCGAGUGGGGCUGCUAUUCAGGCCGCCUUUUGUUGGCGCGGAGCAGUGGGUAAAUUGCAAACGCUUAAGGGAAUGCUACGGCGGCAGCCUCAAUGGGAGUCAGGAAAUCGAAUGUUAGGUCAAUCCAUUAAGCUUCGAUUAAGUCCUCGGCGGAACAAUGCCAGCCGGGCCCAUCUUCAUAAACACCGCGAUUGCCAGGAGAGAGGCACUAAUUUUAAUUAAACCUCCUUACCUGCCUCCACGCCUGCCGGAGACGGCUAUUUAGACGCCAAAUGGCAUCCUUCUGCGGAGGCAGGCGGGAAGGAGGCGCUGAGGGGGCUGCGGGCAAUGGGGUGGGGUGCAGUGGGGAGGCGGCUGUCACAGGA